UCCGGCUCUACGCCGGCAGUCUCUCUAGAGUCCCCACCAUCAUGUGCUGGCAACUAAAGACGAGGGUUGCGCUCGUUGCGGGACUUAACCCAACACCUCACGGCACGAGCUGACGACAGCCAUGCAACACCUGUCAGGGGCCCUUACGGACACUGCAUCUCUGCAGCUUUUCCCCUGAUGUCAAGUCCAGGUAAGGUUCUUCGCGUUGCCUCGAAUUAAGCCACAUGCUCCGCUGCUUGUGCGGGCCCCCGUCGAUUCCUUUGAGUUUUAGCCUUGCGGCCGUACUCCCCAGGCGGGGCACUUAGUGCGUUAGCGACGGCACGGAAGGAGUCGACACCUCCCACACCUAGUGCCCAUCGUUUACGGCGUGGACUAC
rnacentral:misc_RNA from 1 species